rnacentral:rRNA from 1 species
GACGAACGCUGGCGGCGUGCUUAACACAUGCAAGUCGAACGGAAAGGCCCUGCUUUUUUGGGGUGCUCGAGUGGCGAACGGGUGAGUAACACGUGAGUAACCUGCCCUUGACUUUGGGAUAACUUCAGGAAACUGGGGCUAAUACCGGAUAGGAGCUCCUGCUGCAUGGUGGGGGUUGGAAAGUUUCGGCGGGUGGGGAUGGACUCGCGGCUGAUCAGCUUGUUGGUGGGGUAGUGGCUUACCAAGGCUUUGAAGGGUCGCCGGCCUGAGAGGGUGACCGGCGACAUUGGGACUGAGAUACGGCGCAGACUCCUACGGGAGGCAGCAGUGGGGAAUAUUGCGCAAUGGGCGGAAGCCUGAUGCAGCAACGCCGCGUGCGGGAUGAAGGCCUUCGGGGUGUAAACCGCUUACGCCUGUGACGAAGCGUGAGUGACGGUAAUGGGUAAAGAAGCACCGGCUAACUACGUG